GAGUUUGAUCUUGGCUCAGGAUGAACGCUGGCGGCGUGCCUAAUACAUGCAAGUCGAACGAACAGAUAAGGAGCUUGCUCCUUUGACGUUAGCGGCGGACGGGUGAGUAACACGUGGGUAACCUACCUAUAAGACUGGAAUAACUCCGGGAAACCGGGGCUAAUGCCGGAUAACAUGUUGAACCGCAUGGUUCUACAGUGAAAGACGGUCUUGCUGUCACUUAUAGAUGGACCCGCGCCGUAUUAGCUAGUUGGUGGGGUAACGGCCUACCAAGGCGACGAUACGUAGCCGACCUGAGAGGGUGAUCGGCCACACUGGAACUGAGACACGGUCCAGACUCCUACGGGAGGCAGCAGUAGGGAAUCUUCCGCAAUGGGCGAAAGCCUGACGGAGCAACGCCGCGUGAGUGAUGAAGGUCUUCGGAUCGUAAAGCUCUGUUGUUAGGGAAGAACAAAUGUGUAAGUAACUGUGCAUAUCUUGACGGUACCUAACCAGAAAGCCACGGCUAACUACGUGCCAGCAGCCGCAA
rnacentral:rRNA from 1 species